GCCAUGCUCCCAGGCUUAUUUAACACAUUCAUCUGUUAACGUCAGAGGUGGAAAGUAACGAAUUUUAUUUACUCACGUCUCUAUAAUGGAGUAUUUUUUGUUAGUAAUUUGUAAUUUUUAAGCUGUUUUAAGUAACUAAAGUUUUACUUAAGCAUAUUUUGACUCAAGUAUUUUACUUCGCUACAUUUGAAACGAUCCCGUAGUUGAGUAAAUUAAAUGUGGGGGGGACAAUCUGCGUUAAUUUGAAGAAAUUUGCGAGGGCGUGCGCGGAUUUCGCACUAUGUUAUUGUAGCCAGAGAAAGUUGACUAACAGACGGGCUCUAUCCUGUCCUUGUAAGAUGGCUGGUGCCAAACAGGAAAUGGAUUACGAGAAUUGCCAAGCAGUGGGCCCCCGUGGAGCAGAUGACUCAGAAAAAGAAGGAAAUUAUUGGCCAUAUCUCAGGCAUCUCUGCGAAAGCAUGUGUCGGUUUGGAGGAUCUUAACAGAAAAAUAAUAAGUGCAUCGUGAUAUAUAGGAUGGAAACAGCUGCUACGCCUCAAACUGAUCCCAGUCUGUUGGUCUAGGUAACUCCAACAACCCCCACUCAGACGAUAGGGAGGGGGAAGGAUCCACCACAGGGCCAAUGACUCACAUGACCACUUAAUGGUCAUAUUGUUUGGGCCCAUGACCACAUUACUCAACACCACACACCCCCUUUUGGGGUGGAUAAAUACCUGGAAAUUCCCCACCAGGAACGUGGAACUGAUGAAGCCUCUUGGACAAGACUCACUUCUGGUGAGUCCAGUUGCCUACUUUAAAACUGCUUCUCCAAAAAUAAAAGUUUCUUAAAAAUGACCACCCCUUUUGGGGUGGAUAAAUUGGGUGGAUAAAUACCUGAUCACAGUAUAAUACUUUACCAAUACAUUUCCGAAUAAAUCUCCGAAAAUAAAAGUUUCUCAAAAAUGACUAAAAAUGCACUCAUUUGCCUUAAAAUACUUAGCUAUGUCCAUUUUUGU